UACGUAGGCAGCGAGCGUUGUUCGGAAUUACUGGGCGUAAAGAGUGUGUAGGCGGUGCUCUAAGUUCGGUGUGAAAUCUCCUGCUUAACUGGGAGGGUGCGCCGGAAACUGGAGUGCUCGAACGUGGGAGAGGAAAGCGGAAUUCCUGGUGUAGCGGUGAAAUGCGUAGAUAUCGGGAGGAACACCGGUGGCGAAGGCGGCAUCCUGGACCAACACUGACGCUGAGUGAGCGAAAGCCAGGGGAGCAAACGGG
rnacentral:rRNA from 1 species